rnacentral:rRNA from 1 species
UACAGGGGGUGCAAACGUUGCUCGGAAUCAUUGGGCGUAAAGCGCACGUAGGCGGUUCGUUAUGUCGGAUGUGAAAGCCCUUGGCUUAACCGAGGAAGUGCAUCCGAAACUGGCGAGCUAGAGUACUAAAGAGGAUCGCGGAAUUCACGGUGUAGCAGUGAAAUGCGUAGAUAUCGUGAGGAAGACCAGUGGCGAAGGCGGGUUUCUGGAGAGUUCCUGACGCUGAGGCACGAAGGCCAGGGGAGCAAACGGG